rnacentral:rRNA from 1 species
UACAGAGGUCCCAAGCGUUGUUCGGAUUCACUGGGCGUAAGGGGUGCGUAGGCGGUCGGGUAAGUCUGGCGUGAAAUCUCCAAGCCUAACUUGGAAACUGCGUUGGAUACUAUCCGGCUCGAGGAAUGGAGGGGAGACUGGAAUACUUGGUGUAGCAGUGAAAUGCGUAGAUAUCAAGUGGAACACCAGUGGCGAAGGCGAGUCUCUGGACAUUUCCUGACGCUGAGGCACGAAAGCCAGGGGAGCAAACGGG